GACUGAUAACGCCUAUUUAAAGGAUACUUUUGGAAUGCUUUGAGUUUCUAAUUAUUUAUUAUUGUAGGAUUUCUUCUUAGUGUUGUUAUCUUUUAUUUAUUUUUAUUAUGUAUAAUUUUUAUGGGAUGAGAGAGCCAGGGCACAUGCAUUUUAUUACAUUUGAAUGUACAACUGUACUUUUUUAAUGUACAGUAUAUGACAAUAAACUUGAAAGUUGAACUAUUUUCUGCAUUUCCACUUCUAUUUAACAACACUACAGAUCAUUUUCAAGCACAUUUAUCACCACAAUAAAAGGUACAUUUGUAAUUUUCCUCAUCUCAGCUGCUUAUUAAAAUACAUAUUUUUAAAUAAAUGCUUUUAAAUAUCAUGAGGUGGUCCCUGUCAAAGAGCAACUAAACUGACGACUAAUUUUUUUUUACAUUUAAUUAUUUUCAAAUAAUAGCUGGCAAAAGGCAUCACUCCUCGUGCAUCUUGGUUUCGUGUAGGUUUAACUGGGUUUUGGUUGACAGAUGGUGAGACUUUAUGGAACUGCAGAGGAUGUUUGCUGAUGGCUCAAAGUUUUAUUUUGGAGAGGGAAAUAUGGGAAUCUGAGAGUCAGACAGACUUAAGAGACAUCCUGUCUCAUCUCAGCAGUUGCAGUGUUCCUAAAUCUACACAGUGUUAUCAAAUGAUGAACACACUCAAAAUGUAAAAGUUUAACCUCUGCUAUUAGUUUCUGCUGGCUUCUUGAUCCCAGCGAUAAAGAGCAUUGACUGACAGAACCGAAGACUCCAAAAUUAACUUUAAGGGGACGGAAAUUGUAUCAAACCCAAAUCACACUGAACUAUUUUUAUCAGAAUCAGAAGUAUUGGUAUACUGAAGCAUAACAAGCUGCACAAUCUUUGCUUUCUAUCAGCUACAAUGGUGCAUAGGGAUCUGCAAUAACAGGCAGAUGUGGGUACGGCCAUGCCUAUACAUUUCCUGCGUCACAAGACUGAGGCACAAAAUAAAUGUAAUUAUUUUUAAUGAAAUUAAUUAAUUUUAAUUAAACAACUAAUUAAUGGAGAUUGGCAGUGCACACAACCUAUCUGGUGGGAUGGGGCUUAAGACCUUGAAAAUGUGGCUUCUUUGUCCACAGGGAAUUGGUGGUUCCUGUUCAGAGGGUCACUAUCCACAGCUUGUGUAAAGGCUCAAAGCUCCUGCUGUAUAAUAGUUAGAUCUUAGGAUCAGAUGUAUAGUAGUUGGAUCUUAGGAUCAAUCUGAUGGUCGACCAUGAGGCGGAACCACCGUCUGUCCCAGGCGCUGCCUCUAAGCGCUGUUUUGAUGCUCCUACCUAAGUGUCCGUGGUGGCCAAAGCAUUUACUUUGAAAAUGUUUCGAGUUCAAAGCAGGCAGUCACAAAAGCUACUUUAUCAGUGACGGAAUAGGAAUUCCACUUCUUGUUUUUUCUCUGAACUGCAGCCAUGAUUUACAAGGACGGCCAUGAGCAAUCGCACUGUGCCGUGUUACAGGUGAAAUUCUUGGACCAGCACAAGAUGGCAGACAAAGCAUAUGCAUUCGCCAAGAAUGUUUUCAUUAAUUUGUGGUAAACUGGGAUUUACUUCAUUUACUUCAUAUCAUUCCAGUGAUUUUUUUUUUAACAUUUUUUAACUUGUUAGCCUUCCUCUUGUGCCCGACUGUAUAGUAUAGUAUUUUUGCAGGCUGUCAUAUCUUUUUUUUCCCCACAGGACUGUUUGAGCUACUUUCCACUAAAAAUACAAUCACAUCCACGCUUAUCAUAAAGCUGCAGUUCAAGGCUGUUGUGCAUAAUAUUGCACUUGGCUCUUACAUUUGCACAAUGCAAACAAAGCAUCAGAGGCACUCGGAAGUGCUUUUGCAAUAGGUUUGCCUCUUGCAGUAAAGUAACUGGACUGGUUUCAGAGUCCUUAGGUUCAGAGUUUCUCUAUGAAAAAGACCUAAUCACAUUAAAAAUGACACAUAGUGAAAUCAUGAUCUUAAUGAUUUCCUUUUUGCUCUUCUGCAAUACGUUUUUAAUAAUAUUUCCCUACAUUCUUAAGUUAUCAGGUGUUACUGGCUCAAUGUCAAAAUUGAAUCUUUUACUUGUACCAGGAUCGUGUCUUAUAAUUUUUUUUUUUAAUUGGUUAAUGAUAAAAGACCGAACUUAUUCCAGUCUUUAAUUUUGCAUUUGUCUUUGGUUUGCUCUGAAUAUUAAGGGUAUGUGUCUGGCAUGGUUGUAAGUUUUGCUUUGUGCCAAAGUGUUUUUUUUAAUUUAAUUUUAUUAAAUUAGGCGUGGUCUUUAUGAUCAAAUUGGCAAUAAUGAAAUAUUUUAUAGACUGAACCUCCCAGUGCUUUCUGCUGAUAAAUGUUUUUAUAGACAACUUUGUUUGCCUGUGCUUUGUUUCCAUCGGAGCUAUUGGUGCUUAUUCUAAUUGCCCAGUUUUUCCUCUGUUUGUAUUGUUUGCAUACCAACCAAGUUAGCUUAUUAGUUGCAGCAGGUGUUUAGUACGCCUACAGCUAAAAUAGAAACGUUCAUUAAUUGAGGCAAUAUUUGUACAGUAUAUUAAUUGACAAUAAUCUGGUCUAAAAUAAAACCUGGCUGACGUUUUUCUAUCUAUUUAUUAGGUUCCUGUCAACAAAUCCCAUGACAAAACCACAACAAAUAUCCUACUGACAGCUAUAGCCUGUAGGUAGUUCCUCCAAGCUACAUAACUCCACUGCCGUCCAACACCCAUUAAAAAUACAUCCCUUUAGCACUUGGGUGACAUAUUACUCCACUGCCAUGAGCACAGCUACUUUAUUUUGAAAGAAAUGCAUUAACAUCCUGUCACAUGGGAGAAGUUUGCCUCCAGGGCUUUUCUGCUAGAAAUCUCCUUAGGGCAACAAAGCUACUUGGUUAUGUUUAGGGAAAAGAUUGGGUUAAAAUAAACCCUUUAAAGUCAGAAAGAUCCAGAAGACAAAGCUUUGCAUCCUGUGGAUGAGGAGUCAGUGUUAAGUGACAGACACAUCUGCGCAUGCGCGGCCAUGUGGCGCAUUGUUUACGUCCUUACGUCAGUGCGCGUCUCUGCCCAGGUAGACAUUACUUCAGUAUAUCUUUACAUAGGAAGUAGUUGUCUGCUGCUAACGUUAUAUUAAUGCUCUGGAUUGUGAUUUUAGCACCUUCAUGAACUAAUCUAGCCGUGCUCGUUGACAUGAGAGGACAUCCACCUGAGAUCAAAGAUGCAUUGUGUUGGAUGAGCGGCAUCACUUGUUUGGACGCCCAGAAUUUCUAACAACGUGCUGGAUGUCAGCCCUGCAGCGCCUGAUCCAUUGUUCAUCCAUGAUGUUUUCAGCCACGGUGACUCUAAGACCGUUGUGAAGUGUUGAGAGAGCAAAUUGGAAACACAGGAGAGAAAACUCAGCAGGGAUUCAGUCCCAGGACACGGGGGGCAUUUAGUUCGAGAGGCAGGAGAUUUAACCACCUGAUGAUCUCUGGAAACCCAGAAUGUUCCAGAGACAAUCAACAAAGGGUUCAAAUCGACCUCCUGUAAAAUGGCUCUUCCAGUCGUUCUCAAAGGGAUUAUGUCAAAGUCAAAUAAAUAGUGCCUCUUUCUCUCAUCGGAAAGGUUCAACAAUAAACUAGCAUCUAAACUGAA